rnacentral:rRNA from 1 species
AGAGUUUGAUCCUGGCUCAGGAUGAACGCUGGCGGCGUGCCUAAUACAUGCAAGUCGAGCGAACGGACGAGAAGCUUGCUUCUCUGAUGUUAGCGGCGGACGGGUGAGUAACACGUGGAUAACCUACCUAUAAGACUGGGAUAACUUCGGGAAACCGGAGCUAAUACCGGAUAAUAUUUUGAACCGCAUGGUUCAAAAGUGAAAGACGGUCUUGCUGUCACUUAUAGAUGGAUCCGCGCUGCAUUAGCUAGUUGGUAAGGUAACGGCUUACCAAGGCAACGAUGCAUAGCCGACCUGAGAGGGUGAUCGGCCACACUGGAACUGAGACACGGUCCAGACUCCUACGGGAGGCAGCAGUAGGGAAUCUUCCGCAAUGGGCGAAAGCCUGACGGAGCAACGCCGCGUGAGUGAUGAAGGUCUUCGGAUCGUAAAACUCUGUUAUUAGGGAAGAACAUAUGUGUAAGUAACUGUGCACAUCUUGACGGUACCUAAUCAGAAAGCCACGGCUAACUACGUGCCAGCAGCCGCGGUAAUACGUAGGUGGCAAGCGUUAUCCGGAAUUAUUGGGCGUAAAGCGCGCGUAGGCGGUUUUUUAAGUCUGAUGUGAAAGCCCACGGCUCAACCGUGGAGGGUCAUUGGAAACUGGAAAACUUGAGUGCAGAAGAGGAAAGUGGAAUUCAAUGUGUAGCGGUGAAAUGCGCAGAGAUAUGGAGGAACACCAGUGGCGAAGGCGACUUUCUGGUCUGUAACUGACGCUGAUGUGCGAAAGCGUGGGGAUCAAACAGGAUUAGAUACCCUGGUAGUCCACGCCGUAAACGAUGAGUGCUAAGUGUUAGGGGGUUUCCGCCCCUUAGUGCUGCAGCUAACGCAUUAAGCACUCCGCCUGGGGAGUACGACCGCAAGGUUGAAACUCAAAGGAAUUGACGGGGACCCGCACAAGCGGUGGAGCAUGUGGUUUAAUUCGAAGCAACGCGAAGAACCUUACCAAAUCUUGACAUCCUUUGACAACUCUAGAGAUAGAGCCUUCCCCUUCGGGGGACAAAGUGACAGGUGGUGCAUGGUUGUCGUCAGCUCGUGUCGUGAGAUGUUGGGUUAAGUCCCGCAACGAGCGCAACCCUUAAGCUUAGUUGCCAUCAUUAAGUUGGGCACUCUAAGUUGACUGCCGGUGACAAACCGGAGGAAGGUGGGGAUGACGUCAAAUCAUCAUGCCCCUUAUGAUUUGGGCUACACACGUGCUACAAUGGACAAUACAAAGGGCAGCGAAACCGCGAGGUCAAGCAAAUCCCAUAAAGUUGUUCUCAGUUCGGAUUGUAGUCUGCAACUCGACUACAUGAAGCUGGAAUCGCUAGUAAUCGUAGAUCAGCAUGCUACGGUGAAUACGUUCCCGGGUCUUGUACACACCGCCCGUCACACCACGAGAGUUUGUAACACCCGAAGCCGGUGGAGUAACCUUUUAGGAGCUAGCCGUCGAAGGUGGGACAAAUGAUUGGGGUGAAGUCGUAACAAGGUAGCCGUAUCGGAAGGUGCGGCUGGAUCACCU